rnacentral:rRNA from 1 species
CGUGAAUUCAUCUCCGGGGGUAGAGCACUGUUUCGGCUAGGGGGCCAUCCCGGCUUACCAACCCGAUGCAAACUGCGAAUACCGGAGAAUGUUAUCACGGGAGACACACGGCGGGUGCUAACGUCCGUCGUGAAGAGGGAAACAACCCAGACCGCCAGCUAAGGUCCCAAAGUCAUGGUUAAGUGGGAAACGAUGUGGGAAGGCCCAGACAGCCAGGAUGUUGGCUUAGAAGCAGCCAUCAUUUAAAGAAAGCGUAAUAGCUCACUGGUCGAGUCGGCCUGCGCGGAAGAUGUAACGGGGCUAAACCAUGCACCGAAGCUGCGGCAGCGACGCUCAGGCGUUGUUGGGUAGGGGAGCGUUCUGUAAGCCUGUGAAGGUGGCCUGUGAGGGUUGCUGGAGGUAUCAGAAGUGCGAAUGCUGACAUAAGUAACGAUAAAGCGGGUGAAAAGCCCGCUCGCCGGAAGACCAAGGGUUCCUGUCCAACGUUAAUCGGGGCAGGGUGAGUCGACCCCUAAGGCGAGGCCGAAAGGCGUAGUCGAUGGGAAACGGGUUAAUAUUCCCGUACUUGGUGUUACUGCGAAGGGGGGACGGAGAAGGCUAUGUUGGCCGGGCGACGGUUGUCCCGGUUUAAGCGUGUAGGUGUGUGUUCCAGGUAAAUCCGGUUCACUUUAACACUGAGGCGUGACGACGAGGCACUACGGUGCUGAAGCAACAAAUGCCCUGCUUCCAGGAAAAGCCUCUAAGCAUCAGGUAACAUCAAAUCGUACCCCAAACCGACACAGGUGGUCAGGUAGAGAAUACCAAGGCGCUUGAGAGAACUCGGGUGAAGGAACUAGGCAAAAUGGUGCCGUAACUUCGGGAGAAGGCACGCUGACACGUAGGUGAAGUGAUUUACUCAUGGAGCUGAAGUCAGUCGAAGAUACCAGCUGGCUGCAACUGUUUAUUAAAAACACAGCACUGUGCAAACACGAAAGUGGACGUAUACGGUGUGACGCCUGCCCGGUGCCGGAAGGUUAAUUGAUGGGGUCAGCGCAAGCGAAGCUCCUGAUCGAAGCCCCGGUAAACGGCGGCCGUAACUAUAACGGUCCUAAGGUAGCGAAAUUCCUUGUCGGGUAAGUUCCGACCUGCACGAAUGGCGUAAUGAUGGCCAGGCUGUCUCCACCCGAGACUCAGUGAAAUUGAACUCGCUGUGAAGAUGCAGUGUACCCGCGGCAAGACGGAAAGACCCCGUGAACCUUUACUAUAGCUUGACACUGAACAUUGAGCCUUGAUGUGUAG